rnacentral:tRNA from 1 species
UGAUCCUUCGUCUAAUGGUAGGACUGCUGGUUUUGAGCCAGUCAAUGCGGGUUCGAGCCCAGCAGGAUCAUCCA